CAGAGUUGCAAAACUCCCAACCCUUUGUGAACGAACUGAACAGUUGCUUCGGCGGAAGGCCCUUCACUGGGCAGCCCGCCGGAGGCCUACAAACACCUGUAUUUUAGCAUCUCUGAGUAACUUACCAAUAAGUUA
rnacentral:misc_RNA from 1 species